rnacentral:other from 1 species
UCUCUCCUGCGGUGUUCGACAGCGGCUUGAUAGGUCUCUCGACCCUUAAUCGCGCUUUCGGGAUCGCGUAUUGUUGGCAGUUUGUGCAUUACCGUUCAGGUUAAUUCUGGGCGGGAAGCCUUCUCUGCCGCUUCUGGUCCCACCUGAUGCUCUUGGUCUGUGAGCAGCAGGCCGCACCGGCACAGGCGGGAGAGAC